AAAUACUGUUCAAAGAUCAAAAUCGAUCAGUUUUGAUCGCGUAUGAUCUGCAUGAUCAAUCCAUUCUCCAAGAAAAACGAAAAUAUUGGCAAGAUGAGGUUUGUUAUUUUCACUAUUUUCAUUAUGAUUGCUAUGGCUAUGGCUGCUUUCCAAGCAGAAAACCAUGAUGCUUCUACAGCCGCCUGCGCACAGACACGUCAGACUUGUAAACGAACUAGUGAUUGCUGUGAUGGUCUAGUGUGCGUAAAACAUGCUUGGAUAUGUGUACCGGACGAAGAACCGCCAUACUAGAGCCAGUAUGGAUUGAUGCUUCCUUAUAUACGAUUACGGCACUACUUUUUUCAUAUAUAUAUGUAUAAAAAAGAAGAUAUCUUCUAUUCUAUAACUUUAAAUAAAGAUAUUUAGUUCUCAAUAU
rnacentral:lncRNA from 13 species